rnacentral:rRNA from 1 species
AAUGUAGAGUUGUGUUGUCGCUGGCUGGAUGGAUUAAUUUCUGUUCAGCAUGUGCACGCCUUCUCUUUCAUCCACACACACCUGUGCACUUGUGAGACUGGGGACUGUAAAAAGUCUUCAGUCUACUUAAUACAAACUCCAUUUAAUUAAACUGAAUGUAAUUGAUGUAACACAUCAUUAGAACUAAGUUUCAACAACGGAUCUCUUGGCUCUCGCAUCGAUGAAGAACGCAGCGAAAUGCGAUAAGUAAUGUGAAUUGCAGAAUUCAGUGAAUCAUCGAAUCUUUGAACGCACCUUGCGCUCCUUGGUAUUCCUUGGAGCAUGCCUGUUUGAGUAUCAUGAAAUUCUCAAAGUCAAUCCUUUUUGUUAAUUCAAUUGGUUUGCUUUGGACUUGGAGGUCUUUGCAGAUGUCACAGUCUGCUCCUCUUAAAUUUAUUAGCUGGAUCUCAGUAUAACACUUGGUUCCACUCGGCGUGAUAAGUAUCAUUCGCUGAGGACACUGUAAAAGGUGGCCAGGAAAUUUACAGAUGAACCGCUUCUAAUAGUCCAUUUACUUGGACAAAUUAAAUUUAUGAUCUGAUCUCAAAUCAGGUAGGACUACCCGCUGAACUUA